UACGUAGGGUGCGAGCGUUGUCCGGAAUUAUUGGGCGUAAAGAGCUCGUAGGCGGUUUGUUGCGUCUAUCGUGAAAACCUGCAGCUUAACUGUGGGCUUGCGGUGGAUACGGGCAGACUUGAGUUCGGUAGGGGAGACUGGAAUUCCUGGUGUAGCGGUGAAAUGCGUAGAUAUCUGGAGGAACACCGGUGGCGAAGGCGGCGUCCUGGACCAACACUGACACUGAGGAGCGAAAGCCAGGGGAGCAAACGGG
rnacentral:rRNA from 1 species